AGAAAAUAAAAAUGGCUAACGCAAAUUACAUUAUGUUUGAGAUCUGGACAUCAAAUCAGGUUGUCGAUUGGUUACGAGGUCUAGAUGAUACCAUUGUACCAUAUGUAGAACAUUUUAUGAACAAUGAAAUUGAUGGAAGAAGAUUAUUAAUGUUGACACACUCUGAUCUAGAAAAAUUACAAGUGAUUAAACUUGGUCAUCAAGAACUUAUAUUGGAAGCUGUUGAUCUUCUAAGAACAUUGAGAUACGGACAUGAAACAGAGAAUUUACAACACUUGGCUCUUCAGUUAGGAUGUAAAGCACGCAGUCUGCAUAAUGAAGUACAGGCCCAUUCUGGUGAAAAUGACAUUAAUAAAGCUAAUGUUUAUCAAUCUUCGUGUAAUCCUAAACGCCUAUCAAUAUCAGUUCUAUCUGGUAUAGCAGAUUUAUUAACAACUUUGAAAGUCUUAGUCUCAUGGCUUGAUAGGGCCCCAUUUGAAGGAAUUUAUGAUUUAUGUUUAUUGAGGAAUACGAUAUUAAAGUUUGGUAUUGGUUUAGUCACUGUAUCACAAAGAGACACACAAAUGCAUGAUGCAGAAGAUCAAAUUAUGAAAGAUUGUGGUAUAUUAGCUGAUAUAUGUGAUGGUUUAGUCAUGUCAUCUAAAGAUCCAUUAGUAGUACAACCAGCAUCACUAGAACUAGCAACCAUUAGAAAGAAACCUGGAGAAGAACUAGUGCUGGAUUCUUCCUUCAGAGAACCAAUAAGAAAAGAAAGAACAAACAGAAGCAAGCAAAGAUGAAACCUACCACCAUACCGGACUAGAAGAUGAAAUGGAAGGAAGAAAAGCCCAGGCCCCACACUCACCAACAAACCCCAAGGAAGAUGUGCACCGCCCUGCCAUUCAACCGUCCCAUAUUCGUUUUAUGCGUCUGUCAGUAUAAUGUAUCUCUGUCUGCAUUCACACUUAUUUCAUUUUUAUACGCCCACAUUUUCAUGUGGACGUAUAUUGUCGUCACCCCUGUCUGUCCGUCCGUCCGUCCGUCCACAAUUGUUUGUGAACAGUCUACAGGUCACAAUUUUUAUCCGAUUUCAAUGAAACUUGAAAUAUAGGUUUAUCACCCUAAGAUCUCGGUUCCUUUCGAUAUUGGCAUCUAUCGGACCGUAACUUCAUGGAUUAUGGCCCCUGAUUGUACGAAAAAUCACAUUUUUGGCUUGUGAACACUGUAGAGGUCACAAUUUUUAUCCGAUUUUGUUGAAACUUGAAAUGUAAGUUUAUAACCCAAAGAUCUCGGUUCCUUUCGAUAUUCGCGCAUAUCGGACC